rnacentral:misc_RNA from 1 species
GAUGAAGAACGUAGCGAAAUGCGAUACUUGGUGUGAAUUGCAGAAUCCCGUGAACCAUCGAGUCUUUGAACGCGAGUUGCGCCCGAAGCCACUAGGCCGAGGGCACGCCUGCCUGGGCGUCACACGUCGUUGCCCCCCACCAUCUACUCCUUCGGGAUUGCGGGGGGCGGAUGAUGGCCUCCCGUGCGCCUAGCCGCGCGGUUGGCAUAAAUACCAAGUCCUCGGCGACGCACGCCACGACAAUCGGUGGUUGCGAAACCUCGGUUGCCCGUCGUGUGCGUUCAUCGCGCAUCGAGGGCUCGAAAAAAUGCUCGGCUCCGGCUCGGCUUUCAACGCGACCCCAGGUCAGGCGGGGUUACCCGCUGAAUUUAAGCAUAUCAAUAAGCGGAGGA